rnacentral:lncRNA from 1 species
AGCCUUGCCUGGAAUGUCACAGAAGACGCAAGCAAAAGUUGGAGGCAUAAAUGGAAGGCUGAUAGGAGCUUUAGGAGAGGAAGUGACUUUUACAUUCUCUGGCUCUAAUGGACAGCCACCCGUCCUCUAAUGGGACCAGCUCUAACGGGACAAGCCUCACCCAUCGGAACAGAAGCCAUUAGCACAAUUCUGCGAUCUCACAGAGUUCCUCCCUAUAAUCCUCAGGUUCUUGGAGGAAUCGCCCACUCAAC